CUUCGCUGACCUACUUCUCCGAGAGCUCUCCAGCCUGCAGCCCACGCAUCAUCCAUUUUAACCAGCUUUUCAAGAUGAGAAAACUGAGGACCAGAGAGGAGAAGUCAUUUGUCCGAAUGCACAGGGAUGAUUUACAGCAGAUUUGGAACUAGAAUUCCAGCCUUUGGCUCCUUGUUAGAUGCUUUCUCUGCACUGAGUUUUCCAGGACUCAUCCCAAGUGGAGGGAAGAGAUUUGCUCAAUGGUGACUCCAGGAGAGUCCUGCAGAGCUCGGAGCUGCCAAGGUCAGGAAAUGGAACACGUGCCUUCCGCCCAGGCAAUCUUUUUUCUCAUCAGAUCAGCGGUCGUGCAGGGAAAAGGGCCAUCGACAAGUCCAGAGGGGCCUGCCUUGGAGUGUCGGCUUCUGAGUCCCUGGCUGGAGGAAGGUCAAGCAGAAUCUAUGUCAUUGCUUUUGCUGCAGCUGUUGUAAGCCAUUGUAGGAAUCAUGAAUUCAAUUAAAGCAGAGCAAUGGGAUUGAAAACAAAUAGAAAUCAUCUACCUUCAGAGUUAGAACAUGCAAGAUUUCCUGCGUUUUCCCAAGAAGAUUCACCAUUUUAUAGAUUCCAGGUCUGUGAUGAUGCUGACUAUUAUUUGAACCUAUCCAGCUGCCCAGCUCUUUCGGGAGACAUCUGGGGAGGAAAUGUUCUUUUAUGCAUCCCUGUGAAGCUUCUCCCAAUUAAAAACCAACCAGUGAAGGAAACAACCCCGUAGACCAACAUUCAAAGAAUCUGCACAUCACUAUCAGUAAAAUCCCAAUUUGUGGGAGCGUGCUUUUGGAAAUACAUGUUUUUCAAAUCCAAAAGGAGUAGAAGCACUGAGUCUCAUGGGCAUCUGUGACCUCAAGGAUGGCUGACAAGUGCGUCCUGGUGGAGUACCAAGAAAGAAGAGGAAAUGGAGCCUUUGUGAAUGGCUGGUGGCCUUUGACACAAGCUCUAAAUGGUAGAAAUUAUUCUUCCCAUUUCACAGUAAUGAAAGCUGGCUGAGCUGAAACCCAGAGCAUAAUUUCUCACUGGCUGGCUGCUCCAGAUAGUAAUAGCUUCAGUGCCCUUCAGAAUGGAAUUUUUCUGAGAUUGUGAAGCUGGGUGAGGUGUGCCUGGCAGGCCAAUGGGAGAAGGGGAGGAAAGUAAAUGAACUUCAAAGAGAAAUGCUGCAAGAUACUUCCCGUCCAGCCCUCCUGCCCUCUUCCAAAUUAUCUUGAUGUCUGUUUCAGCCCUAAGUCAACAUUUUUGGGACCCUAAGAGCAACUUUGAUGAAAAAAGUCUCCAGAAAAUUUGGGACACUCUUGUAAUCACUGGUCAAAAUAAACAGAAAAUUGAUGAGAAUGUGUAAGUGGUAGUUUUGAACAGCAACCAUUUUUUUUUAGUUCACGAUUUGCAUGUUGGCCAUCUGGGCUGGGCUCAGUGAGUGGUUCUGCUGAUCUAGACAUGGGGAUUGGCUAGCCUGGUCUGGGGCUCAAGUCAUGUGUCUGCAGUCAGCAGCUGGGUCAGUUAGGGGCUGCCUGGCCAUCAGCUGGGUGCCUUGGUUCUACUUCUUGUGGUCUUUCAUCCUUCAGCAGGGCACCCCGGGCAAAAGGGGGAACCCCAAAGAGCAUGCACUUUUUAAGCUUCUGCUUACGGCAUGUUAGCUAAUGUCCCAUUGGCCGGAGCAAACCCCAAGGCCGGCCAGAAUCAAGGGGUAGAGAAAUAGACUCUAUCUACCUCUUCAUGGGAGUUCCUGCAAGGACACGUUGUAUAGGAAUAUGGAAACAGGGAGGGGAAGACUUUGUGGCCAGUUUUAAAGUCAAGUUCCCCUCCUAUUUCAACCGUUCGCUGAACAGCGCUUACAACUUUUGUCAUGUUUACAUACCGUCCUUGUUAGUUUUCUUUAAAUCAACUUCAACUUAAACAAAAUACCUAUUUUAGCC
ensembl:lncRNA